rnacentral:rRNA from 1 species
GAUGAACGCUAGCUACAGGCUUAACACAUGCAAGUCGAGGGGAAACGAUGAGAGAGCUUGCUCUCUUAGGCGUCGACCGGCGCACGGGUGAGUAACGCGUAUCCAACCUACCCAUUACAGGGGGAUAACCUUGCGAAAGUAAGACUAAUACCCCAUGGCAUUUUAUGGUGGCAUCAUUAUAGGAUUAAAGAUUUAUUGGUAAUGGAUGGGGAUGCGUCUGAUUAGCUUGUUGGCGGGGUAACGGCCCACCAAGGCAACGAUCAGUAGGGGUUCUGAGAGGAAGGUCCCCCACAUUGGAACUGAGACACGGGCCAAACUCCUACGGGAGGCAGCAGUGAGGAAUAUUGGUCAAUGGGCGAGAGCUUGAACCAGCCAAGUAGCGUGCAGGAUGACGGCCCUAUGGGUUGUAAACUGCUUUUAUAGGGGAAUAAAGUGAGCUACGUGUAGUUUAUUGCAUGUACCCUAUGAAUAAGGACCGGCUAAUUCCGUG